rnacentral:rRNA from 1 species
GACGAACGCUGGCGGCGUGCUUAACACAUGCAAGUCGAACGGUGAACCUCUUCGGAGGGGAUCAGUGGCGAACGGGUGAGUAACACGUGGGCAACCUGCCCCCGGCUCUGGGAUAACCCCAAGACAUUGGGGCUAAUACCGGAUGUUCACCGCUUCCCGCAUGGGUGGUGGUGGAAAGGGUUUCCGGCUGGGGAUGGGCCCGCGGCCGAUCAGCUUGUUGGUGGGGUAGUGGCCUACCAAGGCGACGACGGGUAGCCGGCCUGAGAGGGUGACCGGCCACACGGGGACUGAGACACGGCCCAGACUCCUACGGGAGGCAGCAGUGGGGAAUAUUGCGUAAUGGGCGGAAGCCUGACGCAGCGACGCCGCGUGGGGUAUGACGGCCUUCGGGUUGUAAACCUCUUUCAGCAGGGACGAAGCGCAAGUGACGGUACCUGCAGAAGAAGCCCCGGCCAACUACGUG